rnacentral:tRNA from 1 species
AGGCUAAUAAGUUAUAUUAAACUAUGAGCCUUCAAAGUUCAAAAUGAUGUGUCUUAGCUUGC